CGUUAGAAUUUUGAAUUUGACGUCGGUUAACCCCUUAGUCAGUCCAAAUCCCACUGCUAAUUUGCAAUAUAAUUGCUUAGACCAAUAAAGAAAUAUUUGAUAUUCCAAAAUCAUUUUUUUUUUUUUUUUGUUGGGAAAGUAAGAUAAUUUUAUAGAUAGAAGCAGUAUUUACAUGAAAGAGAGGCAAGCCCACAAAGAAUGGACAGCCCACUCACAAAACAUUGACCAAAACAAUAUGUAACAAACUCAAGAGUUGGCCAGCAUAGCAACAAGACAAUACUAGUCUAGGGGACUAGACUAUUCUUGUCUAAACUAUACUCACGUCCGGUGUAACACAACAGGGAACAGAACCCUAAUUGGCACGAUCCAGCGGCUCUGGAGGUGGUUCGAUGAACACCGGCAGUCCCAAUCAAGCUUCAGCCUUCUUGCACAUGAUUCGGUCAUUUCUUUCCUACCGGAUCUUGUUGAUUGCAGUGGAGAGUGCGAGCUUAUUGACGGAAUUUCUGAGAUUGUUAUUUGCCCAGCGAGAAGCCACCCGAUCCACCAAGUCACUCCAUGAAGAAGGAGAAAAAUGAAAUCGACACUUGUUUUGGAAAGCAAUCUAAAUUGCAGUCGAAUAAAAGCGCAGGAGAAGAACAAAUGAUUGUGAGAUUCCUCCACGAGACCACAAAACUGACACAGUCUGGAGCCCGUGAAAUGCCUCAUACUUGCUCAAUCAUAGGUGGAGAGCCGGUUCUGAACUGCAAGCCACAAAGAGAAUUUGCAUCUAGGGAUCGAGAGACUAUUCUAGAUCAAGUGUUGCCAAGGUUUCGGGUGGCUGUGAGCUCCGAGCCACUCAAUUGUAUGACUUAGUGUGAAUACCCCUGAGGGUGAUGGAAUCCAAGUAAUGGUGUCUUCAGCUGCUGAUGGGGAAGGGAUAUUACAAAUUUCAGGGGAAUGCUGAACGAGGUAAUCCGGGAAAUGCCAUUCUCCAUUGCGAAUCAACGUUGCAAGUUUCUGAUUUGGCUGAAUUGGUGAGUUAGAAAUUUCUUCCUUAGUGAAAGAUCUGGAGAGAGGCCCCCUAGAAACCAGUUGUCUUCCCAGAAAAACGUGUUCAAACCAUUCCCAACCUUUGUCUUGAUCAUAGACCUUGCCCCUCUUCUGAAGCUUGAGGAUUUUUGUAAUACCUCUAAUUUUAAGGAUAUUUCUGAUAUUUAAUUUUUAUUUUUAUUUAUUACUUAAUAGCAUUUUAUUUGAUUUUGUGUCA